AAAAAUCGGAGAAUUUCAAAUUCAAACGAAUUACUGUUGCUUUAUCACAGACUAUAUAAAUUUGAUUCUUAUUGCAUUCAAAUCAAUUUAGUUUUUAUCCCCGAAAUUGGUAAAUUUUGGAUUAAACCGGAUUACAAAAUCAACUCAAUUAUUAAAAGUGGAUAUUAUUAAAACGGAUUGAAAUUGCAUACGCGUAAUCGCUGAAUUUCGAAUUAAAACGGAUUAAUGUUGUCUUUCCUACCAAAUCGGAUUCAGAUGGAUUACAACCGAUUUUAUUGAAUCGGUGUUUUUGUAAUUGAAACGGACUCAUCUCUUGAAAAGAAAUAUACAAAAUUAGGCGGAUUAUUUUGGAUUAUAUAUCCAUCCGAUUAUUAGUGUUUAUUUUGGAUUGACAACAAUAUGGAUUAGAAUGUAAUGAUUUCGGAUUGGAAAUAAUCUGCAAAAGCGAUAUCAAAACCCAUUCUGAUUAGUUUGGAAUUAAAAUCGAUUACUUUUUAAUCCGGGCGCGGAUUGAACCGAUUAAAACCGAUUAAAACGGAUUAUGUUUUAAUCAGUUUUAAUCGAACAUUUUCGGCAGGGUACAGACAGUUCCAGACCUGAGGAUAAUCUUUCCUGCGUCCGACUUGACAGGUGCAAAAGAAGACUUUAAGGUUAUCCGUACGAUGGCUUGGACGACGACGUCAUCGCAAGUCUCGUAAUUUAAGGAUCCGAAUACUGGGCUCCCUUACAAGAGCCAUCGUGUUGCACCGUUCCGGCUAAGGACUUCAGCAUAAUCAUAGUCAGACAGUUGGAGUAGCUGGAUGUACGUGUUGGUGGAGUUUGGCGUUUGCUGGUUGAGGUUACACUCUCCGGCUCCGAGUAGCGACACGGACGUAAUGUUGAGAUGUUGUCCUCCACAGUCGAAUCCAAUAAGGUGCAGAUAGGAUCUGCCUAAUGUAACGCGACUACAUAACUAAAUUAUAGUACGCUUGGGGUUAGUAUGGUAACUAUAGAUGUUAAUAGCUUAAGCCUUCGGCUAAGGUUAGUAAUUGAUCUUACAUUAGUGUACAUGGUUAUAUAUAUAGUUAUUCUUCGGAGGAAUCAGUCAACAUGAACGCUCCUAUGUUUUUGUUCGGAAUAUUGUAAACGAGUCGGGCUAUCUCUUGUUGAUAAUGUCCGCUUUCUCGCAUGAUUUCGAUUAUUCUCAUGAAUCCGCCCAAGCAUUCCGAACAGGUAGCCGCGCAGCAAGUUCUUGUCAUAUCUGAUCCACAUCGAGCACAGAUGGUGCGAUUGAUGCGACCGUAAAUCAAAUAGUGAGUUUCUUUUACGUCCCAUUCUGAUUCUGACAAGCCAACCUUUUCGUAACAUGUCAGGCACAUGCGACCGGGAUAUUCUUUUAAUCGGAACUCCAUCGUGCGACAACAUUUACUACGAUACAGGGUAGUAUAAUUUUUCAGAAGUUUAUGGGGGCUAUAAAUAUAUGCCCAUGGUGGACACAUUUUGUAAAUAUCAGGGGAUAUAUCAACGUUAUAAUUGAGAGUAGCUAAAAUAUAAGUUACGUAUAUUAUAUAAUACUACGUGAUAUUAUAAUAUAACGGGGUCGCUUUGGCGAAUAUAAGCUCUGUUCUACUCUCGCGACGGCAGUACCGUAGUUGGUUCGUAUACAUGCGGGAUUCAAUCCAGAGACAUGUACAUCAAUGCCUUGGGCAGAUAAUGUUAUUCACCUAGGGUGUUUGGCGACCUAGAUAGAGUAAUAGUACUUUAAAUAUAGAAGAAUACAGAAUACCUUAAAUUUCUAUUGUACUUAAAAAAUAAAAUAUAAUAUAGAUGGCAUUAUCCAUGCUGGGUAGGUUGAGUGGAUGAUUGUUGAUUAUUAAUAAUUAUAAGAUAGUCGUUCAACACGUCAUAAACAAAGUUAACGUAACGGACAUCAGUAUUCUGAUUUUGAAAAGAGUUUACGAGUUUAGUAUAUGCUGCUAUGCAGGGGACGCAACGAGUUAUAGGGACAUUUGGGACAAAAAUGGCUCCCGUAGGGGCCUCUCACAAGGCAAUGACUCAUUAUCAUGUCAUACACUAAAUUACUGGCUGGUAUACCCGCGUUAGCCUCCAUAUAGCAGUCCAAACAACAACAAGUGUGAAGCAUUCUGUCCCAAACGCGAAUUGUACAACGGCGCCGGAUAGAGUUAGGAAUUGAGAUUUCGGUGAUCGCAAUGUCGUGAUUCAUGGUUAUACUCGGGUGCCACUUAGGGACGGCUUUAGGAUUUAUAUAGAUCUAAGACUUUAAUAUAGUCGCAGACGACGUCGUAUUGUAUCGCAGCUAAUUUAUCAGGAUUAUAAUUUUUGUUUCUAAUCAAUUCGACAAGCAUUAGGAAGGAGGACACGCAUUCGCUACAAUUAAUGGCUUCCGAUCGGGAACGCGUGAAACGCUUACAUUGGCUGCUAACGGGUGAUUUAGAAACGUUCAAUGACAAAACGUGAUAAUAGAUAGACUCGAAUGUAUUAGGUCGGCCUGCUUGGUUAUAGCAAUCCUCGCAAAUAGCGAGAGCUCUAGACCGGAGUCGUAUAAAUCCCUCUGAGCGAGUACAGAUACAAUGACGUAAGAGGGAAGACAGAUUGUGAUUUCUUCUCUGCACGUCGGACAACGUAGUUGGUUGUACGGUCCACGCACGAGGUCGUGUGUUACGAGGAAGUGGAACUGACCACCGUAGGGCGACAGCUGUGAGCACUACUACCUCGGCGUAGUGAAAAAAAGCCUCUCCUUUGUUAUUUCGGGGAAGUCUGCAUGCACCGACUAUAUCCCGGGACUGGCGAGAGAUGUCGUUAUCGGAACGGUGCGUGGAAAGGAGAAAGAGAAUCUUAUUCUACAAUAAUGGUGUAUCACACAGGAGUAAUUGGGGACAUUUAUUUGUAUCUUUAUUCUGUAGCCGGAAACCGGCUGUUGUUUUGUGACACGGGAUUUUGAGGAAUAAAUUGUUAUCAAAUUUC